rnacentral:rRNA from 1 species
CGGGUAACAGAGAAUUAGGGUUCGAUUCCGGAGAGGGCGCCUGAGAAAUGGCGACCACUUCUACGGAAGGCAGCAGGCGCGCAAAUUACUCAAUCCCAAUACGGGGAAGUAGUGACAAGAAAUAUUAAUGCCUAUCCCUCACGGGAAGGUAAUUAAAAUGGAUUUAAACUAAACCCAUUUUUUAAUACAAUUGGAGGGCAAGUCUGGUGCCAGCAGCCGCGGUAAUUCCAGCUCCAAUAGCAUAUACUAAAUUUGUUGCGGUUAAAAAGCUCGUAGUUGAAAUUAAAAUUAUACUGGGUUCAAGGUUUUAGUCGACUUCGGUCGGUUUAAAACUUCCAGUGUAAAUUUUAAAACUAAUCCAGGUUGCCAGUUACUUUGUAAUUGGUUUUCUUUGGAUACUUCACUGUGAGGAAAUUGUGGUGCUUAAAGCAAGCGUUUUCGCUUGAUCUUUUGCAGCAUGGUAUGAUAGAAUAUGACAUUUUAUGUAGUUGGCUCGCAUAAAGUGUAAUGAUUAAUAGGGAUGGAUGGGGGUGU